rnacentral:lncRNA from 1 species
AUGCACGGCACCGAGGGAUUUCAACGUACCGAUGAGGCAGAUGGUUAUGAAGCUGCAAGAAAAAUGCGAGGAGAGAACAUGCAGUGGAAACUAUUACAGUGGCAUCCUACGGAAGUGCCAGGAGGCCUCCACCCGAGCGCUGCCUUCGUCCUCAUCCCUGCCCCUCGAGGAGGCGCAGCAGAGGUCGACGGGAGAUGCUCGCAUGGCCGAAGCCAUGGCGAUGGCGGUCAAGAGAGGAAGGUGACGCUUGCGAUUCUGCUCUGUACCCUUGAACCGGACAUUUACUGUCUCUGUGCUUGGGUUUUGACCCAGAUAAAGCAGAAAUCCCCAGGGAGCUAGGAGGUUGGAUAUGGGGCUACUUGAUGUAUUUCAGAGGUUCCUAUAGGAAGUGUUUUCCAUGAAAUUACUGUAGGAGAAGAAAAAUUUAAUAUAAGAAGAAGGUUAGAAAAACAUUUAAAGAAAGGAAUGGUAGUAAAUAGCCCUUACUUCGUACUCGUCUCCAGGCCACAUAAAGUACAAGCUACUAGGCUACCCCUCAAGAGCACCAAUAGCUGGCUAUGGUUUUUUGCAGUUAUACAAACAAAAAUAUAUAGAUAGGCUUCUCCCAUAAGUGAUGCUCUAAGGAGAAAGCAAGAAAGUUAGUGAGUCAAUUAUAUUAGAUGAUUUACGUGCAAACCAUCUCUCUUCUUCCAACCACAGCACUGUACAGUUGGUUUUCACUUUCUCCCAAUGGCCUUGAAAACAUCAUCACCUUGAGGAGCAGACUGUUUUGAGCUAAGGUUUGUUUACCUCAGUCUACAAAAGUAAGCUGGAGUUCUUACAGAGGAAAGCACUUCUAUGUAAUUUCUGAUAUAUUGCUCUUUUUUUUUGAUUCAUGGGUAAGAAGCAUUGAAACAGUGUGAUGUCUUUUACUCCUUAGAACACACGAAGCAGCUUUUGAAAGGAGAAAGACAUGAAAAAUAAUCCUGUGACUCUUACAAGGACUAUUUAUCCUUCAACUCAAUAAGUUAGAAAUAGCACYAGUGCCAUUUAUUGCUGUAUACCCAGCUAGAACCAAUGUAAGCAGUGAAAUAAGAUCUGUCAGAUGUGAAAACUGGCCAGAAUGAUGAGAUUUGGACAAUAGCUCUAGGUUUCCUGCUUUUCGAAGUCCAUCUUGAUAAACUUUGGACUAAUUUUCAGAGGUGCUGUGUACGUACAACCCCACUGGGAGUGGARGGCUGGGCCUGCAGCUACGUGUCUCUGAAGAAAGGAAGCCUCUGAACCUCUCCCGUUGGCCACCCAGGAAUGGAGGCCCCAAGGGCGCAGAGAACUUCGCACUGUGGUCACACUGGCCAACAUGAGGGGCCUUUUUGUGUGUGUAGGCAUAAGUCUGUCAACAGUUUCACAUCCAGUUUGCUGUAAACUAUAAAAAAAGAAAAAGAAAAAAAAAAGAAGAGAAAGAGUCCAUCAGGGAAUUUUAAGAGGGCAAUGCCAAGACUCUGUAGUCAUGGAUGUUUGUGCAAAUGUGUAGUUCAAGGGACAUCAGUAGUGACUCCAGAAAAAUACACCGGGAAGUUGUAGUAAUUUUUGGCCAGGAAUUUUCCUUCCCAGUACAGUCCACCUGGCAGCUCACCCAUGGGGAGGCAAAGAGAGCAAUGGCUCCGGGGCCAUCGUGCCAGCUUGCAGCGUGGUGGAGACGUGGCACUUGUGUUUGUUAGAGCUGGUGGGGGGAGAGGGGGGGGAAUUUACUUUGAAGAGUGUUUGCUUUCUGUGCUUUUAUUUUUUUUUCCAGGAAGAGACAGCUGAAUCUCAGAACUGAUGCGCUCCAAAAUCUUAAAUGUUGGCACUGCUUAUUAGUUGCUUGCUCAGUGGAGAAUAUUCUUCCUUAUAUAGGCCUUUUUAGAAACUAGGUCAGAAGAUUUAUGUGAGUACGGGUUGCUAAAAUCCUCUUUGACAGCCUGCCUGCUUUUAUUAUUUUCUUGCCUUGCCCAUUACAUAAGCCAACGUACCAGCUUCCAGGCUGAUUUCUCCUGGGCUGAGCUGGGAUGACCACAGCAGACACCUUCGUUUCCUGAUGCUGUGAACACCCUCCAGGCAGCGCUCAUCCCUGUGGCCCGUUCAGCGGGUCUGACCCCCGGCAGCGGUUGUCUCCCCAGAAGGGAGACGCUGCUUCUCAAAGAAAUGUGGUAGUGCCACAACAACCUGGGCACGCCGUUGAUUUAUCAGCGGACAAACAUCUAAACGUCAGAGGCCCUCGGGUGCUAAAGGCUGAUGUGCUCCGGAUACGGUGCCUUUGCAGCAAGUACUGUGCUGAGAAGAGGGUAAGUGUCCAGCCAGGGUGUUAUGGGCUCAUCCAAAGCACCCCCUAAAAGUCCAUCAUCUCAAGCGGAGCUUCUAGGAAAUAGUGCACUGCAAAUAAUAGCACUAAUAACAACAGAAGCCUUCUGUGAAGUGUUUGCACUGAAACAUAAAACCACACAGAAUAGUCUUGCUUUUAGACACUCCUGUGAACUCAGAAUGCACUGACGAUCAUUUGUGCUGAUGGGAUAUUUCUCGCUAUGUUGUUUGCGGGAGAUGGUAUCUUUCUGUGAUAUAYAUAUGUCUAUAUAUAUGUCUAUAACCACAUGUAUUCAUAUAUGCAGAUCACCAAUAAAAGUUAAGAUUUAAAAAUAAUUAUUAUACA